GAUGAUAACAUGAUAUAAUGAAAGUGAAAGGAAGGCAACUGAGAGAAUAAGAGAACGUAAACAAGAACAAUAGAGAACUGGAGAUCCUUAAACACUUUUAAAGAAAGAAGGCAUGUGCCCUAUCUUAACUGUUGGAAAAUUUCAGAAGAUGGGCAUAGGACUGAUAAAUGCAGCUGGCGAAAGUCUACCACAUUUGGGCUUUGUAUAGCAAGGACAUCAGAAGAACAGCACCGUCAGAAGGGAGGGUACAGUGAUUAUGGUGGAACUGCAUUAUAAACUCCAGGCUUUUUGGAAAAACCAAGUUCUUAGACAAAAGAAAAGCGAAUAGACAUUAAAAGAGAUAGAAGUCAAGAGAGUAUUGAUUAGAGUAAGGGCUGACGUGUAAGCAUGGUUGGCAGACCCACCCCUAAUAUUUAAGGUGCCCGGGGCCAGAAUGUUAUUAGAGCUCCUUCUAUUACUUACCUAAAUAUUUAAAAGUACUAAAUCAAGAUAAAUUAUUAAUGCAGUGUGAUUGAUGCUACUUUGACAACUUAUCCUUAUAAAAGCAUGAAGGAGGGAAGUUCCACUUCAAUAUGUGGUGGUUCAGGAAGAGCCGUUCCUUAGACCCUGAUGUCCAUUCCUCUCAUCCCAGCCUCAGCUCCAUCCCAUGCUGAGGGAGAUCUGACCACACGUGUGUCAUGCAGGUUCUUGUGCCCAACAUCCUUUACAACCUUCUCAAAUGGCUUGUGUCUAAGGACGUGGAUACCACAAAUGGAUCCUCUGAGGAGAAAAGAGCUUAACAAGAGAUUAGGAUGCAGACAACACAGACUUAAGAGGUGAUCAUGUGAGGAUACAGCAAUAAGAUGACCAUCUAUAAGCCAAAGAUAGGCCUCAGAACGAAAUCAACCCUGUUGACCCCUGAAUCUCCAGAACUGUAAGAAAUAAAUUAUCAUGGCCGG
rnacentral:lncRNA from 1 species